UACGUAGGGCGCAAGCGUUACUCGGAAUCACUGGGCAUAAAGGGCGUGUAGGCGGAGGCGUAAGUCCGGUGUGAAAUCCCUCGGCUCAACCGAGGACGGUCAUCGGAUACUGCGUUUCUUGAGUGCGGAAGGGGAGAGUGGAACUCUUGGUGGAGCGGUGAAAUGCGUAGAUAUCAAGAGGAACGCCGGUGGCGAAAGCGGCUCUCUGGUCCGUAACUGACGCUGAGGCGCGAAAGCUAGGGGAG
rnacentral:rRNA from 1 species